rnacentral:rRNA from 1 species
UACGUAGGGGGCAAGCGUUGUCCGGAAUCAUUGGGCGUAAAGAGCGUGUAGGCGGCCCGGUAAGUCCGCUGUGAAAGUCCAGGGCUCAACCCUGGGAUGCCGGUGGAUACUGUCGGGCUCGAGUCCGGAAGAGGAGUGUGGAAUUCCUGGUGUAGCGGUGAAAUGCGCAGAUAUCAGGAGGAACACCAAUGGCGAAGGCAGGUCUCUGGGCCAUAACUGACGCUGAGAAGCGAAAGCAUGGGGAGCGAACAGG